rnacentral:rRNA from 1 species
AUUGAACGCUGGCGGCAUGCUUUACACAUGCAAGUCGAACGGCAGCACGGGGCAACCUGGUGGCGAGUGGCGAACGGGUGAGUAAUGCAUCGGAACGUACCCGGAAGUGGGGGAUAACGUAGCGAAAGUUACGCUAAUACCGCAUAUUCUGUGCGCAGGAAAGAGGGGGAUCUUCGGACCUCUUGCUUUCGGAGCGGCCGAUGUCAGAUUAGCUAGUUGGUGAGGUAAAGGCUCACCAAGGCGACGAUCUGUAGCGGGUCUGAGAGGAUGAUCCGCCACACUGGAACUGAGACACGGUCCAGACUCCUACGGGAGGCAGCAGUGGGGAAUUUUGGACAAUGGGCGCGAGCCUGAUCCAGCCAUGCCGCGUGAGUGAAGAAGGCCUUCGGGUUGUAAAGCUCUUUCGGCCGGGAAGAAAUCGCAUGGAUUAAUACUCUGUGCGGAUGACGGUACCGGCAUAAGAAGCACCGGCUAACUAUGUGCCAGCAGCCGCCGUAACAC